UACGUAGGGUCCGAGCGUUGUCCGGAUUUAUUGGGCGUAAAGAGCUCGUAGGCGGCUUGCUAAGUCAGGUGUGAAACCUCCAGGCUCAACCUGGAGCCGCCACCUGAUACUGGUAUGGCUAGAGUCCGGUAGGGGACCACGGAAUUCCUGGUGUAGCGGUGAAAUGCGCAGAUAUCAGGAGGAACACCGGUGGCGAAGGCGGAUCUCUGGGCCAUUACUGACGCUGAGGAGCGAAAGCGUGGGGAGCGAACAGG
rnacentral:rRNA from 1 species